AGGAAUCUGCCUGGUAGUGGGGGACAACGUUUCGAAAGGAACGCUAAUACCGCAUACGUCCUACGGGAGAAAGUCCGGGAUCUACGGACCUCACGCUAUCAGACUGAGCCUAGGUCGCAUUAGCUAGUUGGUGAGCUAAAGUCUCACCAAGGCGACGAUCCGUACCUGGUCUGCGAGGAUGAUCAGUCACACUGGAACUGAGACACGGUCCAGACUCAUACGGGAGGCAGCAGUGGGAAAUAUUGGACAAUGGGCGAAAGCCUGAUCCAGCCAUGCCGCGUGUGUGAAGUAGGUCUUCGGAUUGUAAAGCACUUUAAGUUGGGAGGAAGGGCAGUAAGNUAAUACCUUGCUGUUUUGACGUUACCGACAGAAUAAGCACCGGCUAACUUCGUGCCAGCAGCCGCGGUAAUACGAAGGGUGCAAGCGUUAAUCGGAAUUACUGGGCGUAAAGCGCGCGUAGGUGGUUCGUUAAGUUGGAUGUGAAAGCCCCCGGGCUCAACCUGGGGAACUGCAUCCAAAACUGGCGAGCUAGAGUAUGGCAGAAGGUGGUGGAAUUU
rnacentral:rRNA from 1 species